GAGAGGCGAUACGUGUUAGAACGGAGAAUGGCAUUCUUUUUUGUGUGUGAUUUUGGUAGAAAGUGAUGAUGAUGGUGGCGCUGUGGGACGACAAUGGCGAGGAUUAACCACCACGCAGCUCUGUUCCUUUUUCUGGAGAUUUCAGCUUCCUUUCUUUGGAACUCGUGAUUUGAGAGAUGUACAGUAAUCACUUAAAAAGAUGGUACGGCGAGAUAUAUAAAUGAAAUAUGGCCGGGAGUCACAUAAAGACGAGACAAUACGAGACUGCCAUUAUAAAGGUGACGAGGCUAAAUCGGGCCACCAUUUAGUUCUCUCUCUCUUUCUCCUUCCCUCUCUCCUUUAUUUAGUUAUUUGGAUUGCAGUAUUGAAGCAGCUCUGUUGUAUUUUAUUCAUGGUCAAGAAUUUCUUCACUCUACUAUUGCGUCAACCUUUUUUGUGAUCUCACAUGUGACAACCGAGAUCAAACUAUGCUUUGAAACAUGCCUCCGGGUUAUUUUGGUGGUUGAUUUUAGGUUAUUCAGAAUUCAUUGAGCUGAAAUGGUUAUUGGUAGAUGUUUAAGGGACAUAGUUGAUUAGGUAUAUCUUCAGUAGCAAGGCUAGAUCUUGUAGGUGACUGUAGCGUUGUUUGGAUGCUUGUUGUAAAAGAAUUUCAAGGAGUUUGGACUGCUGAUUCCAAGUCUGUUAGACAAGAUAUUCUGUAAAACUCUAAUGUUUGUUAUUAGAUUGUACAGAUUAAUUAAAAAUGGGGGGUAAUGAGUUUGGGUAAAUGAGUCGAUCUUUAGGGAACAGAUUGUGGCCUGUGUACCUGCUGGCACUCUGGCAAAGGCCAACAAACUUCCAUCUUGUAUAAUAUGACAAGAUUUUCCUAGAUAUUUAUUGUCAAAUUAUAAACAAUUCAAACCAGCUACCAGGAUCUGUUGGAGGUUUUUUGGCCUUUGCCAGAGGAAUGGCAGGUAUGCAGAUUGUGAUUGUUAAACACGUUACUACCAUAGACUGUAAACUUUCCAUAAAAAAUUACAGGAAGUUUCAGGUGGAUUUAGGUAGAACAUAGUCAGCAUUAUUACAUAUAAACAAAGCUUAAUUUGAAAAUUGUUGAGGCUUAGCAACAUGUUAUUUCUCUUUGCUUGGACUGGUUCCGUAUUUCACAAUAACUUGCCAGGAAAGUCCGCAAGUACUAUCUUGCCAAAAUCCAUAUGGUUGAAAUGUGUAUUCUUCUUUGGCAGUAAGAUAAGGUUCGAUACUCCAUUCCAGCAAUGUCAUGGCCUUGGUCUUAGCAAACUUGCAGUGGUAAAUGAACCACUAUGUAUGAUUUGGCAAGAUAGUUUUUCAACUUCCCUGGCAAAAUGAUCUUGAAGGAUGCUUCCUUUUAUAACCUGAUGCAUUUUUUGAUUCAACAGUGUUCUUAGACUAUCACUGCCUACUCUAAUUCAGUUUCUACAGGAAAAAGAAUUUGUAUUUUGGUCAGUAGAUCACACUGGAUGUUGUGAAACUUGAAAAUAGCACAAACUGAUGAUCCCACGUCUUGUACAGUUACCCCGCCUCUUCACCCUAGUGUGGCCAGAUAAACAAUGUGUCAGGAACCAGUCCAGGUUGUUUCGUACAAGAGUGGAGGUUUGUUGGCCUCAGCAGGUGUUUGAAGCAUGAAAACCAAGGCAUUGCUUUGUGUGGUCAUAUUCUGGAUAGGUGCCAGUUUUACCAAAGUUUGUACUGGUUACAUCUGGUUGUGUACAUUGAUUAUCAUUUAAAAUUCAUGGGCAGUGGAACUUCCCCAGAACUUUUUACAAUUGUGAGAUUCCAAUCGUGUAUAUGCCAUCUGCAUGAACAGCCUUGCUUUCAUAUCAUUUAAUCAUUUAUUUUUAUUAGUGUUGGCAUUUAUAUUUAUUCUAGUGUUACGUAACAAACACCUCCAUAUAUGUUAAAUCCAGAAUUUCUUACUUCACGUGGAUAGAUCAGAAGUAGAAUGAAAAGGGAAGUCUACUUCUUUUGCUAUCAUCAUUGGCAAUUGCACAUUUAUAUUUAAAUAUGGAAAUACAAUAGAAAUAUAGAUAUUAUUGUGACUAAAUCAGGUGGAAUUCAGGAAACUUAUGAUUAUGAAUAUGUUUAUAUGUAAACAAAGAUAAAGAAAGGGUCAGCAAUUUGGAUAGGAAGUAUCUAUGUCUCUUACUAAAGAGUUUAGACCCAUUACACUAAGGAGAGCUAGACUUCCUCUCAUUCUAUUUUUUUAUUUAUUUAUUGUUUCUUUAAUAUGAAAGUUGUGCUGCAAUGCUAUCAUUUUUGCUGUGGCAGCAUGAAAUUAAGAAUUUUGGGAACAGCACAUUUGCUAUACAUUAUUCAUUGAUUAUUGGAAUCGUUUUCAUGAAUACAUAGCCAUGCUAUACAGAACAGCUCGAGGUUAUUGAUGUUGUAUUUUAAUAGUCAAUAAUCAAUAAUGUACAUUUUGUACAAAUGUAACAUUGAAGUUGUGAAUAUUAAAUGUAACUAGCCAGUUCUAGAAGAGGAAAUAGUUCAUUAUAAUAAUCUUUGGUUGUCUGGCUUGAAAUUACAUGUACUUUUGUUGUUUUUAGCCCAUGAAUUUCACAAAAAUAUCUUUAACUCCAGGCAUGGAGACAAGAAACAGGACUGACAUUUGGAAAUAGGAGACAGAAAUAAUGUUUAAAAGUUACUGAGACACCCACAGUGACUUGUGUUAUUGCUAUGGCCUAUGUGCCCUUAGUGCUUCAGUGAGCACUUAACAAACCUAUAUCAUGUAUAUCUAUUCUGACUAGUUCCUGCCUGGAGUCCCUUGCUGGUGUAGUCCUUACUGGUUUAUCAAUAACUUCUGCAAAAAUAAAUGCAGGUUAUUUUCAAUUUAUGAUCCCCUGAUUUUAUUUAUGGGUAAUAUAUCCACUUGACCACUUCAAAUACAUCAUAACUGGGAUGUUACUAAAUGUUUAUUGUUAUUAUCACUGAGUAGUAAGCAGUAAACCUUACUAGUUGUGAAGUUUGUGAUGAGACGGCAGAGGAGCAGCACGAUUGAAAAAUGCAGUCAUGUGAAUUAUUGAUGUGGCUGUAAAUAUCAAUUUACCUUUUUUUUUUUUACUUUUUUAUGAAAAGUAUUCAGGUAAGGAGGGCAGUUAAGAUAUAUAGGUAUCCAUGCCUCUCAUUGAUUGUGAAAUCUGUAACUCGAGCUACUGCAAAUAUAAAAAUUCCUCGUACAUCUUCAAACUUUCACUUGCUCCAAAUGGGAACUUUGCUAUACUAUACUCAAACCUCAUGUAACUAGAAUGGAUUACAAGCACAUUGAACAAGACAUCAGUGUCAUAUUCUCAAUCAACACCAUCCCCGAAAAAUAAUAUGAUUCACUAGUUAUCUUGAAACUUGUAUUUAUAAAGCAUUUUUGUAAAAUAAAGUAAUGUCUUCUGUGUUUGCAAGAAGUGAAAUCCCACAGUCAUUACUCUCAAGGAUUUUUACAGUUCCAGUGCAGUUUCUCAGGUCUUAGAGUGAGUCUAAAGGUCAGACUCCCCUUUCUAACGUACUUAAGCUUCACCCAUGUUGAAAAAAUGAGCUUCUCUCUUGUUUGAUGACAGUGACCAUGAAAGUUUUAAGUAAAGUGCUAAGGACACUCUUCUACUUCAAAGGGAUUUUUUUGUUUUUAUUUUUUUUUAUUUUUUAUUUUCUUAUGAGGUAAGGUAAUUCAAUGCUGUGAUGUAUUUUGAAGUCUAUGUAGUUUAACUGCUGUUUAACUCCCUUGGGGUUAAUUUAGAAAUACUGUCACAAGGGAAGCCUAUCUUGCUUUUAGAUCCUUAAAUGAUGAAAGUUUUAGGUAACUAUAUGAUUUUUUUCAUGGUAUAGAGUAUAUUGUUGCACUUCAUCUCGUAUAUCACUUUAACCCUGCCUCUUCAUAGGAUGUGUGACCUACUGUUAGUGAAGUCAAACCAAGAUAUUAUCAUCCUUGUUUUUACUUUGAUUUUUUAAACUUUAGUACUUUAUGCUAAGUGCACCUACGGACCCCUUUAUAAGUUAGUGUAGUACUAGGGAGUCUUGAUGGAAAGCAUAGUUUGUAUGUAAAUGAAAAUAAAAAUUGCAUGAAAAACACCAAAUAUUUCAUCAUAAAUCAUUGUGAUUUUCAGUUUUUUAUAUUGGUAUAUGACAUUCAUGAUAUCAUUUAUUAGAACAAAUGUAUUCAGUGCUUUCUCAGUGUUCCAUCAUAGGUACCAGUCAGGACACAGUAUUCCAAUUAGUAUGCUGUUGUCAUGAAUGAUCGAACCUUUCCCACAACUGACUGCAAACAGAAUGAAUGAUGUAGUUUAGAUGCAGGUUUAGUUUUGGCCUGUGAAUGUUAUCUGUUGUUUAUAAUAAGAAGCAAAUUAUACUUACAUAAACUUCAUGUAAGAUAAACAAAAAUCAAAAUGUUUUUGAAUUAUGAAAUGAAAUGGGAUUGCUUAUAUAUUGCCAUGUGAUCAAAUCUCACGUCCAGUUAGUAUGCAUUGAAUUAAAUUCCUCCUGCGGCUGGAAGCCCCAUGAAGCAUAAGUAUAAGAGUCAGCCUUACCAGGAGUGUUCCACUUAAUUUUCAGAUUAUUAGGAAUAUGUUUAAUGUCUCCAAAUUGGGUUGCACAUUGUAUAGAUACAGUCCACACAUGAACAACUUGAAUGUAGGUAGUCUGUUCAGUGUGAAUAUACUUGACAUGAUUAUUCAGUGAAUUGAUCAGAGUUAACCAACUUAAAAAGGUUAUUAUUUUUUAAGCGGUGACAUUCAGCCAGGAAUGUCAAGUGUAAAAGACUAGCUGUGUGGCACUUGCAGCAUAAGCUAGAAGAUUAAAUGAAGUUGUAAGGUAACUAUUCAGGAAGGAACUAUACAAGGAUCUUGAAGCUUCAUACACUAAAUAUGUAGAUGAAGUUGACUUGAGUCUUUUCUUUAUCCCCCUUAAAGUGGGUGAGAAAGCUUUAGAAUUAAACAUUUACAUAGCAAUCCCUUCAGUUCUAAUUCAUUUAUAUCUUGUUAAAUUCAGUUAUCAUGUAUAUGUUUGAAUUUCACUUCCCAUUUCCUCUGUCUAUAUGUUUAUAUCUUUGGGAAUAAACACAGUUUGUAUUGAGGUCUACAUCAGUCUUAUUUUCAGUCUACCUUUGUAUGUGCAUGCUAAUAGAAUUUGUGAGGUAAUUAAAUACUGCCUUUGAAAAUCAUAUUAUUAAAGUUUGUCAUUAUUAUUGUUAUUAUUUUCAUCAUCAUUAACGAUCAUCAUUAAUGAUUAUUAUCAUCAUCAUAAGAAUUUUUAAAAGAGGACUGCACAGAGAAUACUAAGAUAACUCCCUUAACCCCUUCACGACGGGUGACACCGAUAGGCAUGAAAACAAACUGCUCGAAAGCUGGCAUGUGGCUGUACGCCGCGGCAGUGAGCUAGUGAUUCGGGCUGAUGUACUGAACUCAUGCGCUCUAAGCCAGCGCGCCGCCAUUGUUUGCCAAAUCGUAGAUUUUUUUUUCGUUUUCUUCACCCGUCACCAUUGGGUUAAAGAACAAAACAAAGUGUUAAUAGUAUAAAACAAUCUGCCAAAAUUGUUAGUCCACAAUCCUUUAUCAAAGGUACAUCCACAGUGCUAGCUGUGGCUUCCUUAUCUUUAGCACUCCAAUAAGGGGACAGAAACCUCCACUGCAUAUAUUCUAUGAAAAUAGAGCUUGUGCUCCACAUUGGUAAUUUGUUGUCAAAUUAGGAACUAGUCAAAACUCUACCUUGCCAAAUAUAAGUAGAGCAUUUCGGCCUUUGAAGAAGCAUCAAAAGAAUGGAAGCCACAGCGAUUGCAGGCCUCAGUGUCAGGGGUGUUGUCCAAGGUUUAAGGAUUAUGUAUUCAUGUUUUAAUCAAUUUAACCAUUGUUUCAUGUUGCAAUUGUUAGUUAAAAUUCAUGUCUUUUUGUAGUACUGGUAUUGUUAUAAUUUAUUGUUAUAAUUUAUUACUACUAUAUAUAUAUAUAUAUAUUUUUUUUUUAUUGAUGGCUCAGAUAGAAGGAUCUUGAAACCGCAUAUAUAUCUAGUACAACGUUUGUCCUCUUUUUUUUUUUUAGUUCAGAUGGAGAAUCAGCAGGCCAAAUUUCAAGGAGUCGAAUGGAGAUUUGUUUCUGUUAAUGUGGAAUUGCCGUUGACUAGGACGUUGCUUGAAAGGGUUAGGGAAAUGGAGCUCUGGUAGGAAUAGGCUCCACGUCCGCCUUCGAGAUUGCUGGUUAGGGUCAUCUGUGUGUGUGGACAGGUUGGCAGAGAUUUCGAGGGAGAAUAUUCUUUUUGGAAAUGGUCCUCUGAAAUGAUGUCACUCUUUGGAAAAUGAAGACGCAUGUGCAGUUAUAUUUCCUGGUUCUUAUAUAUUUAGGUUAUUUAUUUUUAUUUGUUUAUUUAUUUAUUUAUUUUUUUUCCAAGUCCUUUACACGUUUUUCAUUUGUUGGUAAUGGUACUGCAAUUAAUGUUUUAAUAGAAGGAAGUAACUAAAACUAUAAUUACUUUGGUGAAGCUUUUUAUAAUUACAGUAAAUUUAUUUCAAUAGAUUUCAUGCUGUAUCUUAAGUUUUCAAUAUUUGUUAGUACUUUUUCAAUUCUCGCUCUAGAUUAUAUUGAUUUAUUGAUAUCACUAAAACCCUCUUUAUGUAAAUUGGGUAUUGAACUAUUUAUCAAAUGUCAAAUUAUUGAUACAUUUAAGCUAAAGACUGCUUCAUAGUUGUGCAACUGUACAAUAUGUGAAAUUUGGUAAAUUAGUGAUUCUUCAGUAUGAUAAUUUGUAGACGUAUUAUUAAUUGUUUUUGCUUAUCAUUGUUUAUCUUGCUUUGCCAUCAUGUUACCAAAGCAAAUAUUAAGGCAUCAGUGGAGAAAGUAAUGACUCCUUAACUCUAGAUAAUUUUAAAUAAUUUGUAAUGAUUGUUUGUAGGGAAAAGAUACAUUUUAGGUAACUUUUUAAUGCAACUUGCUCACUGGUGCCUUAAGCUCUUUGAUUGAAUUCUUUAAGAGUGAAAAAAGAAAAGAAAAAAUUGCAAGUCACCAAAGAUUGCUUAUAGAUGCAUUUAUCAAAUGCAAGCCAAAUGCUAACAAAGUUCUCAGAUCUCAUGCACAGACAGCACUUUGACCAUGCAGUAAUGAAGAGAGUGUGAGAGUGAUGACUGUCUCUGUAGGGUGUGAGUGGCGUGAUUUAGAUAGAAUAUUGUAAGAUUUUGAAUCCUGUGAGCUGUUUUACCUUCCCAUCACAGUGGUCAUAGGAUUGGAAUAUGGAAUUGCAAAGAGCUUGUGUCGAGAGCAACAAAUUUCUUUCAAAGAAAAAAGAGAAAGAAAUAUGGGGAUUAAUGAUUACUAUAUCAUGUGUUCCUUUGGUUUGCUAAGGUUUCUUUGGUAAAAACGAGGAUACUGAGAUUGAGUUAUUGAUUUACUUAAUUUUUUUUUUUUUACUAUUAUACAUUUAAUUAAAUCAUUAGUGUUGUUUAGCAUUUCUUUUUUCUUUCUUUCUUUAAUGAUUAUGCAGAGAUCUUGCCAUAUUUAAUGAGAAGAAUCUUGAAUUAUCCUGAUCACUGUUCAUGAGAGUAUAUUUGAGAUGCUGUUAUUGUCACUUUUUGAUAAGCACUUGCCAAUCUGUGUGAUGCAUAUGUUCUCUCUUUCUGUCUCUCUCUUUCUCACAAAAAAAAAAAAAAAAAAAAAAAAAAAAAAAGUCAAGGGGGAGAUAGAUGUACUAGAAAGGGUGUUAUUUGUGGCAUUAUGUUUUGCAGAGCAGUAGCUUUGAUGCACGUCCUCUGGUGUAUAUGACUCAUAUUGAUAAGUUAAUCCCAAUUUCUUCUAGGGUGGAGCAAAGAGCGACACAAUGCUUUAACUUGACAUGGUGGAAUCACUGCGACCACGCAUAAUCCAGCGGCUGGGAAGAUAUCUCCAUACGGCUUGGGGGUGCUGGUUGUGAGUUUUAGACGCAUAAUGUCAAUAUUUAGCCUUUUUUUAUUAUUUUUUUUUUAUUUCUGAGAACAUUUUCAAGAUCACUAAUGUUUUAGGAUGUGGUGUAACCUGGUGUGGGAAAUGGAAGGGUGAAAGGAUGAGUGUGUACGAGUGUGGAAAUCAAUUUUGGAGAGUGCAUGUGGAGUGAUUUUGUGUAUCAAUUUUCUGGGUCCUUGAGUGACUCCUUUAGCACCUCAGGUUACACCCUCACAUGUUAGUGUAAGUUCAGGGUAAUGAGAAGGUAACCAUGACCUUUGGAUAUUCUUUGAUAAUGAUUGAAAUAGUUUUUUUUU